AUUAUUACCCUACCAACCAUGCUCAAGUGGGCCUUACUUCUGCCAAACCCUGUAUAUGUAAUUUAUAUACUU